AGCGGCGGACGGGUGAGUAACACGUGGGCAACCUGCCUAUAAGACUGGGAUAACUUCGGGAAACCGGAGCUAAUACCGGAUAAUUCUUUUCUACACAUGUAGAAAAGCUAAAAGACGGUUUACGCUGUCACUUAUAGAUGGGCCCGCGGCGCAUUAGCUAGUUGGUGAGGUAACGGCUCACCAAGGCCACGAUGCGUAGCCGACCUGAGAGGGUGAUCGGCCACACUGGGACUGAGACACGGCCCAG
rnacentral:rRNA from 1 species